GGUCCCGUAGCUCAGUUGGUUAGAGUAUCCGUCUGAUAUGCGGAAGGUCAUGAGUUCUCAAUCCUCAUCAGGACCA
rfam:Triticum aestivum genome assembly, contig: Triticum_aestivum_CS42_TGACv1_scaffold_343910_4DL